GGUUAAGCGACUAAGCGUACACGGUGGAUGCCCUGGCAGUCAGAGGCGAUGAAGGACGUGCUAAUCUGCGAUAAGCGUCGGUGAGGUGAUAUGAACCGUUAUAACCGGCGAUUUCCGAAUGGGGAAACCCAGUGUGUUUCGACACACUAUCAUUAACUGAAUCCAUAGGUUAAUGAGGCGAACCGGGGGAACUGAAACAUCUAAGUACCCCGAGGAAAAGAAAUCAACCGAGAUUCCCCCAGUAGCGGCGAGCGAACGGGGAGGAGCCCAGAGCCUGAAUCAGUGUGUGUGUUAGUGGAAGCGUC
rnacentral:rRNA from 1 species